rnacentral:rRNA from 1 species
GACGAACGCUGGCGGCGUGCCUAAUACAUGCAAGUCGAGCGCAGGAAACUGACGGAACUCUUCGGAGGGAAGGCAGUGGAAUGAGCGGCGGACGGGUGAGUAACACGUAAGGAACCUGCCUCAAGGAUUGGGAUAACUCCGAGAAAUCGGAGCUACUACCGGAUAGUUCAACGGCCCGCAUGGGCCGCUGAUGAAAGGCGCUCCGGGGUCACCUUGAGAUGGACUUGCGGUGCAUAUGCUAGUUGGUGGGGUAACGGCCCACCAAGGUGACGAUGCAUAGCCGACCUGAGAGGGUGAGCGGCCACACUGGGACUGAGACACGGCCCAGACUCCUACGGGAGGCAGCAGUAGGAAAUCUUCCACAAUGGACGAAAGUCUGAUGGAGCAACGCCGCGUGAGUGAUGAAGGUUUUCGGAUCGUAAAACUCUGUUGUAAGGGAAGAACACGUACGAGAGGGAAUGCUCGUACCUUGACGGUACCUUACGAGAAAGCCACGGCUAACUACGUGCCAGCCGCCGCCGUAACAC